AUUCCUACGGGAGGCAGCAGUGGGGAAUAUUGGACAAUGGGCGCAAGCCUGAUCCAGCCAUGCCGCGUGAGUGAUGAAGGCCCUAGGGUUGUAAAGCUCUUUUGUGCGGGAAGAUAAUGACUGUACCGCAAGAAUAAGCCCCGGCUAACUUCGUGCCAGCAGCCGCGGUAAUACGAAGGGGGCUAGCGUUGCUCGGAAUCACUGGGCGUAAAGCGCACGUAGGCGGACUCUUAAGUCGGUGGUGAAAUCCUGGAGCUCAACUCCAGAACUGCCUUCGAUACUGGGAGUCUCGAGUUCGGGAGAGGUGAGUGGAACUGCGAGUGUAGAGGUGAAAUUCGUAGAUAUUCGCAAGAACACCAGUGGCGAAGGCGGCUCACUGGCCCGAUACUGACGCUGAGGUGCGAAAGCGUGGGGAGCAAACAGGAUUAGAUACCCGGGUAGUCCA
rnacentral:rRNA from 1 species